GGUGAGGGGGGAAGGGUGGUGCACAUCCCUACAGGGAGGGAGGAAGGACAGGGAGAAAGAGAGAAUGUUUCCCUUGCCCUUGCCCCUGCCCGUGGGUUUUCUCACCUGAAUGUCCACAAGUGGGUUGAAAGAUACUCAUUGUUGGCUGAAUUGUAUGAAAAGACUCCUAAGAAGUGCACCCUCCAAACUUGCCUCCUCUCAGUACCUCCUUAGUCAUAUGCAUUAUCUGAGUGUGGAAAUUCUGCCUUCUAGAACUGGGGAGGGAGACAGCAGGUAUCCUCCAGCUUGGAAGUGGCAAGAGCUUGGAUGUGAGGCCUACCGCAGCCUCAUCACUAACACUGCGGAAGCCAGCACCGGCCAACUGAUACAGUUUGGAUGUCUUCCCCCUCCAAAUCUCAUGUUGAAAUGCAAUCUCCAAUGUUGGGAUCCCCAAUGCAAUCCUGUCAGUAUUGGAGUGUGAAGACUUUUUGGAGAGGCUGACAGGGUCUCACCUGGAGGAGGGAGUGAAUCAUUCUUCCUCAAGGGACACGUCAAGAACUCAGUAAGUGUAGAUAUUAGGGGUGAAGAUGUGCAAACUUUUCCAUAGUUGGGAAGGCACAUUUGCCAACAACACAGUGACUUCAUUUUCCUGGCAAAGGGAAAGGACUAACAUUUAAGAAGCACCUACUGUGUGCUCCAAGGUUGUUUCGUUGCUAGGUUGCCUGAGGACAGAGGAAGAGAUGACUCAGUAAGAUUAUUAUUACUAUACUCUACAGAUGGAAGACACUGUUAGCUGCCCAAAGUCACAAAACUAGUAAUUGGCCAAGCCAGAAUUGGAACUCAGGCCUUUGGAUAUCAGAGCUGAUGAUCUUUUUACAUCUGCAUGAUAUUUCUCUGGAAUCACAUAACCCUGAUCAGAAUAAAAAUGAGAAAGAAUGAGUGCAUGGAUCUACAACUGUGGGAACCUCAACUCUUCCAUGCUCUCCAAAGUCAGGGGACUUCGUAAUUCACAAAAACGGAAGAAAAACUACUCCCCUCCAGCCAGCCCCUUGUACUCCAUGUGACAAAUGUUCACACUCUUUCUGCCUGAGUCACACAUGCCAGUAAAUAGUACAAACAUUGAUCCACAUAUUUCAUGUUUAUAGCCUCUGUUCUAUCAGAAUCCUUAAGUAGCUCCUAUAAUCAAUUUAUUUGCCAACAGGUGCAGUGGUCAGGGUGAACGGUCAGUACCAUCAAGCCACCCUGGGGGAUCCUCUGGAGACCCUGAGCCAUUCUGGGGUGGCAUUGCUACAAUACCGCAAUGUACAGGGAGUGAGGCUUCUGGUAAUCAUCUUUGGGUAGCAGUGGGUCUAGGUUCCAAGGGGAAAAGGUGAAAACUUGUGCUUUGUUCUAUGUAAUAUUUAGCUUUGAACAGAAGAGAGACAUCAAGAAAGUGAAAGGGCAAGGUCCUAGACAAGAUGGGGUUGGAACAGAAAAUGAAUAAGGGAGAAGGAAGCAGGCAGAGACUGUGCAAGGUAAGGAUGAAGAAGAAAGGAGGUAAGAAGAAAACAAGUAGAGGUUGUCUUCUCUUUCUCCUUCUUCCUGAACUGAAGUAGAAAGGGAAAGUCUACUGAGACCUACUCACAUUAUUAAACAUGCCUCCAGCUCAUCCAUGUCUCCCCACCUCACCUACCAGUGAGUCUAUCCCCUCUGAGCCAUUGGGAAUAAGGCCCAUGUCCAUAUAGGCAAAACAAUGAGCAUUUCCACACUUGAAUGUGAGUGGUACGGAUGGAAAAUGAACAAGAUGGAUUGCUUCCUCUAGGAGACAGUUUCUCAACCAUGGCACUGCUGACAUUUUGUGCCAGACAAUUCUUUGUUGUUGCGGGGCCUUCCUGUGCACUAUAGGAUGUUUCGCAGCACCCUAGGCCUCUACCCACUAGAUGCCAGUAGAAUCACCAGUGUGAUAACCAAAAAUGUCUCUAGACGUUGCCAAAAUUGCCCCUGAUUGAAAACCGCUGCUCCAGAAGGCUAGGGCUACCUGUUUCCUGGAAUGAGUUUUAGAAAUAGUUACUCUGCCUUCCUGCAUCUUGAAGGAACUGCCUCACAACUAGCCUCAAUGUAUAUCCCACUCUCUGUCCCCAUGUCUGAUGAUCCAUUUCUAGAAGUACCGAGAGAGAGAAUUUGUAUAAACAUCAAGGGUGGAUGCUUUUCUUCUGCCUCUGAGGUCCACUCCCCAAACACCCCUGCAAAGUCUGGUAUAGACUAGGAGUAAAAAGCUCUAGUACUGGUCAGUGAGAAGCAGAAUCAUUGAGAAGGAUUCUGAGUCAGCAAAGCCUGGCUAUGGGGCCCCUCUGCCCUGGGGACAUGGAUCCCUCCAUCUUUUCUCUUCUUGUGCAAGCAGAAGCUGAAGACACCUGGCAGGCUGCAUCUACAUGUGUGCCUUUGAUCAGGCCCCCGUGGCCUUUGUUCCUCCGUUUUUCCAUCUACAAUGGAAGGGACUGGACUGAGAGACCUAUAAGGUUUCCACCCAACUCUGAUGAACCAUGUUCUGAGAGUUUAUGGCUCUGAGGUUAUAAUUAGAGAAAGCCUGAUCUUGAGGUGCAUUAAGGAUAUGCAGAGCAUGCUAUGAAUUCCCUCAUGGCUACCUUUUAAUUACCUGAAUUGAUAUAGGCAAGCAUUGCUAAUUUGAAAUGAAAAGAUAAAUCCAAAUCUAAUCUGGCUGGACAUCAAACGCAACAUGACUCUCUCUCUCUCUCUCUCUCAAACACACACACACACACAUCUGUAAUAGAAAGGGGACCUCCAAGACCUCAAGGAGAAGCCACACAUAGAAACAAUUCAUCGGUAAUUGAGAGUUGGCCAAACAUUUGGUCAUUUUUUAAUUUUUAAAUUUAAC
rnacentral:lncRNA from 1 species